CUGGUAUGGAAGUGCCCACUCUGACCCUGUGACUUUUGUUGUCCAAAUUAUUGGCCCAGUGGAAAUACCCAGCUGUCUGGUUUUGGAAGAUGUGUCCCUCCACGUGUUCCAUGUAGAAUAGUGGUCUUAUCAAAGUACUAUCUUAAACUUUAACUGAAAUGGUUCUAAUUGGAUCCUUUUACUUAACAAAAGUGACCAGCACCCAG